UACUAGAGUAGCACUCGCAUAUCAAUAAGCGGAGGAAAAGAAACUAACGAGGAUUCCCCUAGUAACGGCGAGUGAAGCGGGAAGAGCUCAAAUUUGAAAUCUUAAAGGGUUUCCCUUUACGAAUUGUAGUUUAAAGAAGUGUUUUCUGUUGAGGUUUUGGUAAAAGUUCUUUGGAAUAGGACAUCAUAGAGGGUGAGAAUCCCGUAUUUGACCUUUACUUUCAACUUUGUGAUACACUUUCAAAGAGUCGGAUUGUUUGGGAAUGCAGUCCAAAAUGGGUGGUAAAUUUCAUCUAAAGCUAAAUAUUGGCGAGAGACCGAUAGCGAACAAGUACCGUGAGGGAAAGAUGAAAAGAACUUUGAAAAGAGAGUUAAACAGUACGUGAAAUUGUCAAAAGGGAAGCGUUUGACACCAGUGUUGUUUUUCUGAAAAUCAAUUAAAGAACUGUUUAUGCUAAGUUGUUUAGACUUUAUCAGCUAUCUGCUUAGUUUUGAGCUUUUCUUUAAUGCACUUUUCAGUUAACAAGUCAACAUCAAUUUCUUUUGCUGUAAAAAAGCUUGAGGAAGGUGGCUUGAGAUUCGUCUUAAGUGUUUAUAGCCUCUUGCCUAUGCAGUCGGAGAGAUUGAGGUCUGCAGCGUAGAUCCUUCGGGGCUAAAUGCAUUUGUGCUAAGUUAUAGCAUUUUAUAGACAACUUGUUGACUAUGAUUUGUCUUGUAGCUUACUCGCUUAUGUUAUUUUACCUACGCUUAGGAUGUUGAACUACUGAGACAUAG
rnacentral:rRNA from 1 species